GACAGAGGAUGCAAGCGUUAUCCGGAAUGAUUGGGCGUAAAGCGUCUGUAGGUGGCUUUUUAAGUCCGCCGUCAAAUCCCAGGGCUCAACCCUGGACAGGCGGUGGAAACUACCAAGCUGGGAGUACGGUAGGGGCAGAGGGAAUUCCGGUGGAGCGGUGAAAUGCGGUAGAGAUCGGAAAGAACACCAACGGCGAAAGCACUCUCGCUGGGCCGACACUAACACUGAGAGCACGAAAGCUAGGGGAGCGAAUGGG
rnacentral:rRNA from 1 species